rnacentral:rRNA from 1 species
UACCCUGGUAGUCCGCACGGUAAACGAUGGAUGCCCGCUGUCUGCGAUAUACUGUGAGCGGCCAAGAGAAAUCGUUAAGCAUCCCACCUGGGGAGUACGCCGGCAACGGUGAAACUCAAAGGAAUUGACGGGGGCCCGCACAAGCGGAGGAACAUGUGGUUUAAUUCGAUGAUACGCGAGGAACCUUACCCGGGCUUGAACUGCAGGCGAACGAUACAGAGAUGUUGAGGCCCUUCGGGGCGCCUGUGGAGGUGCUGCAUGGUUGUCGUCAGCUCGUGCCGUGAGGUGUCGGCUUAAGUGCCAUAACGAGCGCAACCCUUUUCAUUAGUUGCCAUCAGGUAAUGCUGGGCACUCUGGUGAUACUGCCACCGUAAGGUGUGAGGAAGGUGGGGAUGACGUCAAAUCAGCACGGCCCUUACGUCCGGGGCUACACACGUGUUACGAUGGGGGGUACAGAGAGUCGGAUGUACGCAAGUACAUUCUAAUCCUUAAAGCCUUCCUCAGUUCGGAUUGGGGUCUGCAACCCGACCCCAUGAAGCUGGAUUCGCUAGUAAUCGCGCAUCAGCCAUGGCGCGGUGAAUACGUUCCCGGGCCUUGUACACACCGCCCGUCAAGCCAUGAAAGCCGGGGGCGCUUGAAGUCCGUGACCGCAAGGAUCGGCCUAGAGCGAAACUGGUAAUUGGGGCUAAGUCGUAACAAGGU